UUGUGGUCUAUCGGCUCUCAAGGGAAUAACUCCUUUUAUUAGGUGGAUGUUCCACUUCAUGAUUUCAUUGUAAAAGAAAUUGUUACAGCCUGAGAAGGUGCAAUAUGCAGGUUCAUGAUCAUCUCAGUUUUUUCCAAACACGAUACACUCACCUGACUGUCAUCUUGGAUAUCUGAAACUGAAUUAUUACCAGAAGCCAAGAAGCCCAAGACUUGUGCCAGAAGUUAUUUGCUAAUUCACUACACAACGUAACUGUUGGGCAGCGGCUUGGAGAGCUGAGUCUAGCAUCCUGUUAUCGAAACAUGGCGCUGACUGCCACGCAAGUACAAGAAAAUAGAGUUGUGCAUUCGCUAUGCAGCUUGGAGAGCCGAGUCCCCUUGGCUACUAGUUAUAGCUUUUGGAGUAGUGGUAACUGAAUGUGGAUACCAUCAUCUCACCUCAGGCUUUAGAUACUGAGAUACAGGGACGGGUCCCCGAGACACAAUUCAGUUGGUCAACCAAUCCAAAGUACGGGUUCAAAUCUUACCAAUGGGAGCGGUAUAGAUUUAUCCCACCUUGGCAACAUGCAAACCAGUCAACAGUGCCACACAUCAACACGGCCCGGGCUCUUCAUCCAGAAUUAGGUAUGUGCUAAUCUCCCUUGUCUUGUUCACUUGGAGGGAUAAGUACUACUUUUUGACUGUCUGCCUUGCUUAAAGAAAGGUUGUGGCCAGGUUAAAUCAUCCCUCACAUCUCCCCAUGGCCCAUGAACAUUCUUUUCUGUAAGAAUGGUUGGAUGUUUCUGUUCCUUCUUGACUUACAUACAUUGUGACACCAUUCUCAUUAUGCACUAAUAAUUUGAUGUUGGCUUUGUUUUGUUAGGCUAAGAUCAUUC